GCUGGAGAGGUAAGCGGAAUUUCCGGUGUAGCGGUAAAAUGCGCAGAUAUCGGAAGGAACACCGAAGGCGAAGGCAGCUUACUGGACAGAAACUGACGCUCAUGCUCGAAAGCGUGGGGAGCGAAAGGGAUUAGAUACCCCUGUAGUCCACGCCCUAAACGUUGUACACUAGGUAUUGGAGGAAUCAUCCCCUUCAGUGCCCCAGCUAACGCGAUAAGUGUACCGCCUGAGGACUACGACCGCAAGGUUAAAACUCAAAGAAAUUGACGGGGGCCCGCACAAGCGGUGGAGCAUGUGGCUUAAUUCGAUGCAACGCGAAGAACCUUACCUGGGUUUGACAUGUAUUUGAAUAUGCGUGAAAGCGCAUAGUCCUUCGGGACAGGUACACAGAUGCUGCAUGGCUGUCGUCAGCUCGUGUCGUGAGAUGUUCGGUUAAGUCCGGCAACGAGCGCAACCCUCGCCCUAUGUUACCAGCGGGUAAAGCCGGGGACUCUUAGGGGACAAACCUGAAUUCAGGUGGGAAGGUGGGGAUGACGUCAAGUCAGUAUGGCUCUUACAUCCAGGGCUGCACACGUGCUACAAUGGCCGGCACAGAGGGAAGCUACGCCGCGAGGCGAUGCAAAUCCAGAAAACCGGUCCCAGUUCGGAUUGGAUGUCUGCAACUCGACUCCAUGAAGCCGGAAUCGCUAGUAAAGGCGUAUCAGCUACGACGCCUUGAAUACGUUCCCGGGCCUUGUACACACCGCCCGUCAAGUCAUGAAAGCCGGUUUUGCCCGAAGUUCGUGAGCUAACCCGCGAGGGGGGCAGCGACCUAAGGCAAGGCUGGUGAUUGGGACUAAGUCGUAACAAGGUAGCCGUAGGGGAACCUGCGGCUG
rnacentral:rRNA from 1 species